rnacentral:lncRNA from 1 species
AGUCUGAUGCCUUCAUAUCAGAUCUGUGUAGGUAGCAGAUAGUGCUGCACAGAGCAAAGCAAUCAUGUUAAUAUUUUUAUUUGCAUUAUAAUACAUUUCUUAUAAAUAUUUUAUUUGCUUUAUAAAUUAUUGUGCACAGAGCUUUUACUUUUGUGAUGUUGAUUCUUCCUCUCAGAAAACAAGGUAUCUUCACAAAAGCUCAAGUCAACCUUUGGAUCUCUCCAAGAUUAUUUCAAUAUUUUCCUGAUACCAGCUUUGCACAUUUAUUAAACACAAUUCUAAGUAUUUUAUUCUUUUGUUGGUGUUGCAAGUGAUGUUUUUUGCCUCUUUCUAGCACUAAUUAAUAAGCAGUAUUGGCUUCUUAUGUUAAUACUCCAGCUUGCCUCUCAGGUGUGUUGGAUUACAAUGAGUCCAUUCUUCCACCGACUCUGUUGAAUAAUCAUAUCAUCUGCAUGAAAGUUUCAUUUUUAUUCAAUGAAGGAGUUUCUCUCAUCCAAAUGCAUUGGGAAUAUGUGGCUGAUGCUGGACUUCAACAACAAGAGAAACACUGGAAAGCCUACACACUUAUGGAAACUGAACAACUCUCUACUCAGUGAUCUCUGGGUCAGGCAAGAAAUAAAGAAAGAAAUUAAAGACUUUCUAGAAUUCAAUGAAAAUUAAAGCAUAAAUACCCAAAUUUAUGGGACACAAUGAAAGCAGUGCUAAGAGAAAAGUUUCCAGCACUAAGUGCCUCUAUAAAGAAAUUAGAAAGUGCUCAUAUGAGCAAUUUAAAAGUACACCAGAAUGUUCUAGGGAAAAAAGAAGAAGAAGAAGCAAGGACAGCAUAGAGGAAAAGAAAGCAGAAAAUAAUAAAAAUCAGAACUGAAAUCAAUCAGUUAGAAAUAAUGAGACCAAUUCAAGGAAUCAUUGAAACCAAGAGUUGGUUCUUUGAGAAAAAUCAACUAGAUAGACAAGCUGACCAAGAGACACAGAGAGAGUAUCCAAAUAAACAAAAUCAGUAAUGAAAAGAGAGACAUAACAACUGACACUAAGGAAGUUCAAAUAAUCAUUAAGGCUUACUUCAAAAUCCUAUACUCCAUAAAAUUGGAAAAUAUUAACAAAAUAGAAGAUUUUCUAGACAGAUACCACUUAUUAAUGUUAAAUCAAGAUCAGGUAAACUAUUUUUUUCCUUUUUUAUUGGUUAUUUUAUUUAUUUAUAUUUCAAAUGUUAUCCCCUGUCCCAGUUUCCACUUCACAAACACUCUCCCCCCUCCUCCUGACCUUAUGAGGGUACUCCCCAACCAGCUCACCCAUUCUUGCCUUCAGGCCCUAGCAUUCCCCUAUGCUGAGUCAUUAGACCUCCACAAGAACAAGGGGGCUCCUUUCCCAUUGAUGCCAGAUAAGGCAAUCCUCUGCUACAUAUCCAGCUGGAGCUGUGAGUGCCCCUAUGUGUACUUUUUGGUUGGUAGUUUAGUUCCUGGUCACUUUGGGGGGUCUGGUUGGUUGAUAGUGUUGUUCUUCCUACAGGGUUACAAACCCCUUCAGCUCCUUCAGUCCUUGCUCUAAUCUCUCCAUUGGGGCCUCACUAAUAUCUUACAACAGUUCUUGCUUAGCUGUGCUCUAUUUCUCAUAGUCUCAGCUGUACUUAGUCAAGUACAGUCUGAAAAUAUUAAAUGGAAAAUCCAGAACUAGUAGAUUUGUACAUUUUCAGUUGCACCAUGUGCUGAGUGAUAUAAAGAAAUCUCCCAACAGCCACAGCUAUAACUGACAUCAUGUCACCCCUCCAUGGUCAGUGUAUCCAUUCUGUGUGCCCUACCUAUCCACUUAACUGUUUUGGUUAUCAGAUAUACCGUGGUGGUUUCAUAGAACCUGUGUUCUAGCAGCUCUUAUUUUAUUUACUGAUACCCCAAAAUGCUGUGUUGCCAAUUACAAUUUUCCAGAGAAUUCCAGUAAAUUCUCAUGAUAGAAAGCAAGGCCUACCUCCCCAGUGUUGUCCUCUAGCCCUUUAAUACAGACCAUGGCAUGCCAGCACCACACACAUAGAUACACACACACACACACACACACACACACACACACACACCACACACUUAAAUACACAGAGACAUGCAAGCACAGACAUUCAAAUAAUAAAUAAAAUUUAAAAUAAAUUUAAAUUCAGAGAUGAAGUUAAAAUUAACAUAAAAUUUAGGAAAAGCAGAAAUCAUAACUCAUAUGAGCUACAUAUAAAUCACCUUUAAAGGUGUAAGAUGUCAUCUUUACUUACACUGAAGCAAAUGCAAAACUCCAUGGAUAGACUUCCUAAGAAAUGUAGCCACAGAUUCAGCAAUGUACCAGGUGCAAAGGAAUCACUGAACAUGUUGCCAGUAGAGUUUGGCAGUAUCCCCAGACUUGUGCAUUUUGAUGUGGCAUUCCCUCUCAUAGCUACUUACCCAGAAAGCACACCUUCAACAGCACAAAUUUAAAAAAAGCUACGCGCUAAGUCGUGGUGCCAUUGUUUGUGAUGGCAAAAUAAUGCUAGCCAAAUGUUUGUACAUCAGAAAAUGCAUGAUAUGAGAUGGGUUCAAUAACAUGAUACAGGAGCACAGUGAUGUGCCUUCAAGGAGAAGAGGAUGAAGAAAAUACCAUGGGGCUGAGAGAGAUUGUUUUUUAGGGAAAAACAGAAGGCUUAGCAUGGUAACGUAAUGUGCCCAAUUUAGGCAAGC